rnacentral:rRNA from 1 species
GAUGAACGCUGGCGGCGUGCUUAACACAUGCAAGUCGAACGAGAAGUGGAGACGGAAACCUUCGGGCGGAAGCCUUUACUUCGAGUGGCGGACGGGUGAGUAACGCGUGGGUAACCUGCCUCAUACAGGGGGAUAACAGUUGGAAACGACUGUUAAUACCGCAUAAGACCACAGCACCGCAUGGUGCGGGGGUAAAAACUCCGGUGGUAUGAGAUGGACCCGCGUUCGAUUAGCCAGUUGGCGGGGUAACGGCCCACCAAAGCGACGAUCGAUAGCCGAUCUGAGAGGAUGACCGGCCACAUUGGGACUGAGACACGGCCCAAACUCCUACGGGAGGAAGCAGUGGGGAAUAUUGCACAAUGGGGGAAACCCUGAUGAAGCGACGCCGCGUGAGUGAAGAAGUAUUUCGGUAUGUAAAGCUCUAUCAGCAGGGAAGAAAAUGACAGUACCUGAGUAAGAAGCCCCGGCUAACUACGUG